rnacentral:rRNA from 1 species
CUACGGGUGGCAGCAGUAGGGAAUCUUCGGCAAUGGACGGAAGUCUGACCGAGCAACGCCGCGUGAGUGAAGAAGGUUUUCGGAUCGUAAAGCUCUGUUGUAAGAGAAGAACGAGUGUGAGAGUGGAAAGUUCACACUGUGACGGUAUCUUACCAGAAAGGGACGGCUAACUACGUGCCAGCAGCCGCGGUAAUACGUAGGUCCCGAGCGUUGUCCGGAUUUAUUGGGCGUAAAGCGAGCGCAGGCGGUUAGAUAAGUCUGAAGUUAAAGGCUGGGGCUUAACCAUAGUACGCUUUGGAAACUGUUUAACUUGAGUGCAGAAGGGGAGAGUGGAAUUCCAUGUGUAGCGGUGAAAUGCGUAGAUAUAUGGAGGAACACCGGUGGCGAAAGCGGCUCUCUGGUCUGUAACUGACGCUGAGGCUCGAAAGCGUGGGGAGCAAACAGGAUUAGAUACCCUGGUAGUC